AGUGGAUGUGGUGGCACGCACCUAUAGUUCCAACUACUUGGGAGGCUGAGGUGGGAGGAUUGCUUGAGCCCAGGAGUUCUGAGCUGUAGUGCACUAUGACGAUCUGGUGUCUGUACUAAAUUCAACAUCAAUAUGGUGACCUCCCAGGAGUGGGGGACCAACAGGUUGCUUAAGGAGGGGUGAACUGACCCCGGUCGGAAACAGAACAGAUCAAAACUCCCAUGCUGAUCAGUAGUGGGAUCGCACCUGUGAAUAGCCACUGCACUCCAGCCUGGGCAACAGAGCAAGACUCCAUCUCCA
ensembl:misc_RNA Metazoa_SRP Metazoan signal recognition particle RNA